GAAUUUGGCAAAGCACAUGCAAGAGGUAUUUUAGUAGUAGUAGGGACAAUGAAAAGUUUGAAUGUCUGAUAAAAUUUGAUAAGCUCAAAAUUCCAUUUCCAUGGAGCAACCUACAUUCAUUUCUCACCGGCGAGAUGAACCGGAGUUCAGCCUCCGUGAAUGGGCGGCAAAGGCCAAACUUAACCGCGACCCCACCAUUUCCCGGCGAUUCUCCGGCUCCUACAUCAGAAGCUUUCGAGAAGACGCCAGGUCGUUUCGAUCAAACAUCACCAGCACCGCCUCCUCUCCCGGAUACCCGUUCGGAGACGAAAUUGACCCAGCUACGUAUUCGUUUACUAACGCCAUCAAGGCACUGCAAGCCAGGUCACUUAACAGUUGGGAAUGCUUUUCUCUCGAUGGGUUUACUUUAAAUUCGAAGUGGAACGAGGCUGAGAAGUAUAUAUGUAAUCCACUUUCUGGGGAAGUUCCUAUGGAGUGUUUGUCUGCAAAAUCACUUAGUGGGAGGUCGUUUAGGAACUUAGCCAACAGAAUUGCAGUGUCUGCUCCUUUAGUUUACUCAAAUCAUUCACAACAGAUUCAAACAAAGCCAUGUUCUAUCACACAAGUAGUUCAGAAACUCCCAAUUCCAGAUAAGAAAGUGGAUGCUAAUGCUAUGACUAGAGAUGUGGGAACUCAAAGCACACCACCAAACGUUGGUUCAUCUAGUCCUAGUCCUGCUUCCACGCCUCCCAUCGUGGAUAGAGCAUUAAAGAGAUGCGAAUUGGAAGAAAACUCUCCCAGUUCCAAUUCUAAGGUUACUCCCGAAACAGAGGUGAUCAAAAGAGAAAUGAAAGAGGAGAGAGCAAAAGAAGAAAAGGUACAUAGAGAAAUAAUAGCAGAAGAAAAGUGCAAGCAAGGGGGAUGCUUGUCAUGGAUGAAGAGGAAGCAGAAAGAGGAGCAGAGAUCAAGAAGAAAGAGGUUCCUUUCUCAUCUGAAACUAAAAGGGUGCUGAAGGAGAAGAGUGUUGAAAUGGUGAAGAACAAAACAUGGAAAAUGAGGGAGGUGGGGGUAGUAGAGAAGAUUACUCUGUAAACAAAGAUUUGGUUUAUUAAUGCAAAAUGGAAGAGAAAGGGCAGGUGGGGAAUGUGGGAUUGUAUGGGUAUCAUAAAGGUUGGCUUUGUGGGUUGUGGUCCUAUUUGCCUUGCUUCUCAACCACUUCAAUUUGUUCUUUGUCAUGGUGAAAGCAGGCCAACAGCUUAGCCUUCACGUGCUUGCCUUUGUCUUUGUGUUCUGAAUUGUAGGGUAGGGCUCUUAAGGGCUUCUCCCUUUUGUUUUCAA